rnacentral:rRNA from 1 species
AAGUCUGGUGCCAGCAGCCGCGGUAAUUCCAGCUCCAAUAGCGUAUAUUAAAAUUGUUGCGUCUAAAAAGCUCGUAGUUUGAAAACUUGCCUUGUCACACAAUUGAUUCUUCUGAAUCUUCGUGUGAUGAGUCAAAUAUCGAUGACUGUUUUUGCCGACUUUACUGUCCGGCUUAUAAGAGUUAUCAAAUAUCACUUUGAUUAAAUUAGAGUGCUUAAAGCAAGUGUUACUUGAAUAUAAAUGCAUGGAAUGAUGGAAUAUGUUGUUGUUCUAUUUGUUGGUUUUUGAACGAUGAAAUGAUUGAAAGGAACUGUUGGGGGCAUUCGUAUUGUUGUGAGAGAGGUGAAAUUCUUAGACCACAGCAAGACGAACUACUGCGAAAGCAUUUGCCAAGAAUGUUUUCAUUGAUCAAGAACGAAAGUUAGAGGUUCGAAGGCGAUCAGAUACCGCCCUAGUUCUAACCAUAACCG